rnacentral:rRNA from 1 species
CAGUAGCCGCGGGAACACGAAGGGGGCUAGCGUUGUUCGGAAUUACUGGGCGUAAAGCGCACGUAGGCGGACAUUUAAGUCAGGGGUGAAAUCCCGGGGCUCAACCCCGGAACUGCCUUUGAUACUGGGUGUCUAGAGUAUGGAAGAGGUGAGUGGAAUUCCGAGUGUAGAGGUGAAAUUCGUAGAUAUUCGGAGGAACACCAGUGGCGAAGGCGGCUCACUGGUCCAUUACUGACGCUGAGGUGCGAAAGCGUGGGGAGCAAACAGGAUUAGAUACCCGAGUAGUCCCUGUCUCUUAUAC